AGCUGGUCCGAUGGUAGUGGGUUAUCAGAACUUAUUAACAUUAGUGUCACUGAAGUUGGUAUACAAUCCCCCACUGCUAAAUUUGACUGGCUUAAA
ensembl:misc_RNA Y_RNA Y RNA